CAAAAACAUGUCCUCUUGAUUAUAUUUUGAGGUCUGGCCUGCUCACUGAUAAAUUUAAAGAGCCGCGGUAUUUUGACCGUGCAAAGGUAGCAUAAUCAUUAGUCUUUUAAUUAAGGGCUGGAAUGAAUGGCUUGACGAGAAAUUAACUGUCUCUUAAUAAUUUAUAAAAUUUAACUUUUGAGUCAAAAGGCUUAAAUUUUUCUUUAGGACGAGAAGACCCUAUAGAGCUUAACAUAUAAUUUAUAUUUAUACAUUAGAUGAUUUUUAUAUAUUUAAUGAUAAUGUUUUGUUGGGGUGACAUGAAGAAUUAAUAAACUCUUCAUUAUAAAAUCAUUAAUUUAUGUUUAUUUUUGAUCCAUAAUUUAUGAUCAUAAGAUUAAGUUACCUUAGGGAUAACAGCGUAAUUGUUUUUGAGAGCUCAAAUCAACAAAGCAGAUUGCGACCUCGAUGUUGGAUUAAGAAAAAUUUUGGGUGU
rnacentral:rRNA from 1 species